rnacentral:misc_RNA from 1 species
GUUGGAUGGGUCAAAUAAACAUUGAUGGUACCUCUAAGGGUUAUCCAAAAAGAGGUGGUGGUGGAGUUUUUACUGUCUGAUUGGGAAUCUAUACUUCUAUCCUUGUAGAGCUUCAAAGUCUUCUUCAUGGUUUAUGCAUGGCUUAGGAUUUGGGCUAUAGAAAACUCUUUGUAGAGUUGGAUUCAAAAAUUAUCCUUGAAUUUCUCGCUUAUGCUAAGGUAUGUAGCCUGAAGUUUGUGAAUGUUCUUUCGUAGUGCAAGGAACUCCUUCGCCAUCCUUGGCAUGUGCAUUUGGAUCAUUGUUAUCGGGAGGCCAAUGCUGUGGCAGACAAGCUUGCCAAUCUUGUUGUGUUUGCCUCUCAAGGUUUUUGUUGUCUGCCUACCCCUCCUAGGGUGGUUGUUGAUUUGUUGCAGUGUGAUCUUCAUGGUUUAGCAU